AGGGUUUUUGAAAGGUUUUGAAGGAGUCAAAGCUUAUAGGAAGGUCCAAACCUUAAGCAAGAACACCAAAGAGUAUUGGCUAAGCGUAACUGGACUGAACGUUGGAGGGUGAAAACUUGCUGAGCGCUAAGGACUCCAAGUAAGGGCAAGGGCAGGGCAGAGCAGUGAGCGCUGGAGUCUUCCUUGCAAAUGUACAUGUGGACCGACCUUUUGGGAAGCCUUUUUAUUUUUGGAAAUAUUGUGUAAUUUUCCUAAACUAGGCUCACUCUAAUCUUUAUAAAACAUGUUUGUAACUAAAUGUUAAGUAUGGCCAUACGACUUUUUAAAAAGUUUUUUUUUUUUUUUUCUAUGGGUUUUUGAGACAUUUUGUUAAAUGAAAACAUUUAUAUUUCCGCAUUAUCGAGUCUUGAAAAUCCGGGUCGUUACAGCCUGGGCAGGCAGCACACCGGGGCUGGGCACGCAGCAGUCCGGCUGGGUGAGGCUCGGGCUUCGGGGCUCGGAACCUGGGGCUCGGGCCUUACAGAAUUUUUCAAAUAAUUUUAACACAGAAAAUUAAAAUCACAAAAAUUCCUAUGCCCCAAAAUGGCUUACAUUUUUCAUCUAGAACUUUAAGAACAUUUUCUAAA